AGAAGUUUAGGUUGAACAAACCAAAGGCCUUCAAAGCCCUAAACACGAGCCCACGCCCUCUUAACUUCUG
rnacentral:tRNA from 1 species